AGGGAUCAUUACUGAGUGAGGGCCUUCUGGUCCGACCUCCAACCCCAUGUUAUCCAACACUGUUGCCUCCGGGGCGACCCGGCCUUCGGGCGUCGGGGCCCCGGGUGGACCAUUCAAACACUGCAUCUUUGCGUCUGAGUACACUAUUGAAUCAAUCAAAACUUUCAACAACGGAUCUCUUGGUUCUGGCAUCGAUGAAGAACGCAGCGAAAUGCGAUAAGUAAUGUGAAUUGCAGAAUUCAGUGAAUCAUCGAAUCUUUGAACGCACAUUGCGCUCCCUGGUAUUCCGGGGAGCAUGCCUGUUCGAGCGUCAUUAUCAACCAUCAAGCACUGCUUGGCAUUGGAUGCCGUCCCCCGUGGACGCGUCUUAAAUCCUUUGGCGGCGGUUACAUACCUCAAGCGUAGUAGAAAUUCUUAGCUUUCUAGGUUGUGGCUGCUUUGCCUCGAGAACAUCUCACCUCAAGGUUGACCUCGGAUCAGGUAGGGAUACCCGCUGAACUUAA
rnacentral:rRNA from 1 species